CUUGGAAGAGUAGGUGAAGAGCUGUUUUUAGGACUCUUUGAAAGGGUACAGUAUGGGUGACAGUCUUGGCUAAUGGUAACAUCCAGGGAGCUGGGGUCAGCGUGAGCUGGAAUCAGUUGUUAAGAAAUAAAAUUUAUUCCUUUCCUUUUCUUCCUCCUUUCCCUUCUCCUCCCUUUUCUUCCCUUCCCCUCCCUCCCUCUCUCUCUCCCUCCCUCCCUCCCUCCUUCCUUCCCUUCCUCCUUCCCUCUUAGGCUGGAGUGCAGUGGUGAGAUCAGAGCUCACUGCAGCUUCCACUUCCUGGGCUCAAGGGAUCCUCCUAUUUCAGCCUCCAGAGUAGCUGGGACUAUACGAAUGUUUUACCGCACCCAGUUCAUUUUCUAAUUUUUUGUAGAGAUGAGGUUUCACUGUGUUGCUCAGGCUGGUCUUGAACUCCUGGCCUCACGGAAUCCUCCUGCCUUAGUCUCCUAGCAUAGAUUUUUAAAUUCUCCAUAAUUCUUCCUUAUUUCACUUAACCACUCUAUCUUAAAUUACGUGUCAUCCCUCUUUUUUUUUUUUUUUUUUUUUUUUAAAUGUCUUUUUGUCACUUCUAGCUGGACCUACCAUGAAAGACUUCUGAAUCCAGGAAGAGAAACUGACUGGGCAACAUGUUAUUCAGGUACAAAAAGACUUGGACUGUAACUCAAAAAUGAUCAAAUAAUAGUGCAUGCAUCAAGUGCAAUGGGAAGCUCUUCUGGAGAGGGAGAGAAGCUUCCAGUUAAGGUGACAUUGAAGCCAAGUCCUGUAAGAUAAGGAAGAGUUGUAUGAGAGUGGGGAGGGAAGGGGGAGGUGGAGGGAUGGGGAUUGGGCUGGGAUGGGAUGGAGUGAGCUGCCCAGGCAGGGAAACCAGCACUAUACAGACCUGAACAAUGAAGAUGGCACAUUUUGUUCAGGGAAUGGUGAAUUAAGUGUGGCAGAAAUGCUUUGUAGAGACAGUAAUUUGCUUGUAUGGAAUUUUGCCCAAGAGACCUCAUUACAGUUUCUAAUUUUUUGAUGUUAUCAUGCAUCACUGCCCUUGUCAGAUAGUAUCAUGAUCACAAUAACAUCAAGCAUAAUAUUUCAUUGAUUCUCACAAAAACAGGUGGGUGCCACAGUUAUCCCCAUUAUAUGCACAAAAUGAUGAAGACUUGGGGUUAAUGAGCGAUUUGCCCAAGCUCACCUGAAUAUUAAGACUGAGUCAAAUGUUAGUCUGGUCUGACUUCAAUGCUUGCCUUGUUCAUGAGCACCAUGCAUUGCCUCUCCUAUGCAGUUAAGCAGGUAGACAGGUGAGAGAAGAGCCCGUGUGAUAUCGGGGGAAAUUCACCCCGAUAUUUCAUGUAGGUUCUUUUCUGUUUUCCCUGAGUGUUGGCCGGUCUGAGAAAUAAAGGAAAAGAGUACAAAAGAGAGAAAUUUUAAAGCUGGGUGUCCAGGGGAGACAUCACAUGUCGGCAGGUUCCGUGAUGCCCCGCAAGCUGCAAAACCAACAAGUUUUUAUUAGUGAUUUUCAAAAGGGGAGGGAGUGUACGAAUAGGGUGUGGGUCACAGAGAUCACAUGCUUCACAAGGUAAUAAAAUAUCACAAGGCAAAUGGAGGCAGGGCAAGAUCACAGGACCACAGGACCGGGGCGAAAUUAAAAUUGCUAAUGAAGUUUCGGGCACGCAUUGUCAUUGAUAACAUCUUAUCAGGAGAAAGGGUUUGAGAGCAGACAACCCAUCUGACCAAAAUUUAUUAGGCGGGAAUUUCCUUGUCCUGAUAAGCCUGGGAGCGCCACGCGAGCCCAGGGCUUAUUUCAUCCCUUAUCAACGACUGUAAAAGACAGCCGUCCCCAAAGCGGCCAUUUCAGAGGCCUCCCCUUAGGGAUGCAUUCUCUUUCUCAGGGAUGUUCUUUGCUGAGAAAAAGAAUUCAGCAAUAUUUCUCCUAUUUGCUUUUGAAAGAAGAGAAAUAUGGCUCUGUUCCACCCGGCCCACAGGCAGCCAGAGUUUAAGGUUAUCUCCCUUGUUCCCUGAAAUUGCUGUUAUCCUGUUUUUUUUUUCAAGGUGCCCAGGUUUCAUACUGUUUAAACAACUUGUGCAGUUAACGCAAUUAUCACAGGGUCCUGCAGGGACAUUCAUCCUCAGCUUACGAAGAUGACCGGAUUAAGAGAUUAAAGUAAAGACAGGCAUAGGAAAUCACAAUUACCCUAUAGAGAAAUCCAUACCCCUCAGCCACUACCUCCUACUCUCCCCACCUACCUUCGCCCCCAGCCUUAGGCAACCAUUGAUUAAUUUUUUUGUCACUAUAGAUUUGCCUAAUCUGGACAAAUAGAAUUGUACAAUAUGUGAUCUUUUGUGGCUUUUUUUCCCUCUUAGCACAGUGUUUUCAAAGUUCCUUUAUGUCAUAGUGUGUAUCAAUAUUUCAUUCCUUCUAUGGAAAUGGGGGAGUAACAUGAUGAGAUUCAUGGAUUAGAGACAUGGCUCAGGCUGCUGUAGAGAAGGAGGCUGCAGUGAGCCUGAUUGCACCACAACUCCAGCCUAGGUGACAGAAUGAGACUGUCUCAAAAAAUAAAAUAAAAUAAAAUACAAAUUAACCCUUUAUGACAUUCCCAGUAACUUUCCCUCCUAAGUGUUCCCCACAAGUCUUUGAAUUCUGUUUAAUUUUCACAUAACAUUUAAGACAUGUAAGAACUUAUGUCUGUCUGUGUCAUCCCUUUAUGUCAAAAGAUGUCUUUUUGUCACUUCCAGCUGGAUC
rnacentral:lncRNA from 10 species